ensembl:lncRNA novel transcript
GGACUACAGGCGCCCGCCAUCACGCCCGGCUAAUUUUGUGUAUUUUUUAGUAGAGACGGGGUUUCACCGUGUUAGCCAGGAUGGUCUCGAUCUCCUGACCUCGUGAUCCGCCCGCCUCGGCCUCCCAAAGUGCUGGGAUUACAGUCUGGAGCCACCGCGCCCGGCCCUGAGAUGUCUCCAAGUGGUGGUGAGACAUCAUCAAAUCCUAAGAAACAAUAUACUUGAAGAUUUUUCACUCACUGCAUCAAAGGUCACCAGGGUCUCCGUAUCCCCACGUCGCCAUUCCUAACAAGAAUGAGGCAGAUGAAAACCAUACGCAAAAACACAACAAAUAGAAAAGAGAUUCCACCAAAAGCAAUCAUCAAGAAAAUGUCUCCAGUGAGAUUCCCAUUGUUGUGAAGGGGCGUGUAAGUAUAUUUGCACUCAGACAGCUUCAGAAGUGCUUGCCUGAUGAAA